UACGUAGGGGGCAAGCGUUGUCCGGAUUUAUUGGGCGUAAAGAGCGUGUAGGCGGCCAUUCAGGUCAGCUGUGAAAACUCGAGGCUCAACCUCGAGACGUCGGUUGAAACCGUUUGGCUAGAGUCCGGAAGAGGAGAGUGGAAUUCCCGGUGUAGCGGUGAAAUUCGUAGAUAUUGGGAAGAACACCGGUGGCGAAGGCGGCGAGCUGGUCCAUUACUGACGCUGAGGCGCGACAGCGUGGGGAGCAAACAGG
rnacentral:rRNA from 1 species